CUUCCUCAGCUUCUCUCCAUGUUCUCUCUUUUCUUUCUUGUUCUCUCUCUUCCUCCUUUCCCUCUCUUCUUCAGAGCCUAGAUUUGCCUACAAGUAGCAGAUAAGGCAAGAACACUCACACAGAGGGAGAGAGGGUGGCAUCCCAUGGAGGACUCCGUGCCACAGCAUGCACUCCUAGACCUUAGGGGAGAGUUUGUUGCAGCCCAGGGGUGACAGCCUGUGUGGGGCAUCUCCGUGGGGGCUGUGUGUGGUGCUCUACGCGUGCCACCCCACUGGGGAAUCCAUAGUGCCACCACCCCCUAGGUGACCACAAGAGGAGGUGACAUCACGACUUCCUGUCUCCAAAUGGGAACUGAAAGCAGCUCUCCUGCCACUCCUUGUCCCCACUGCAGUCUCGCUGUCCCCAAGCUGCUCCUGCCUCAUGGCACCAAUGGCACUGGCCCUCAUCCUGGGACCAGGACCGUGUCCCUUGCAGGUUGGUGUCUGGCGGCAGCGAGCAGGGCACAGCAGCUGCCCCGACCCUCCCUGUCGCUGCAUCCCAGCCAGGGGGUGUCCCUGGGGGACACUGUCACCCUGCGGUGCCACCUGCCCCGGCUGGCUGCCCGGGUUGAGCUCUACCAGGGAGGACGUUGGAGAUCUGUCAUGGACAAGAAGGAGGACAUGGCUGAGUUCUCCUUGGUUAGCACUGAGCAGGAAGAUGCAGGAACAUACCGGUGCAAGUAUCGUGUGUUGGAGCCACCAUGGACUUCAAGGCUGAGUGACCCUGUGGAGCUGGUGAUCACAGGUGAGGUCACUGGGGAAAAUAAGUGCACCAGGGCUGUUUCCUCAGGGCCAUGUCCCAUCGCUCCCCACUCACUGCACACAGAUCGCAUGUUCCCCCCACCUGGUAUUUCCCUGCACCCUGAAAAGCCAGUGAGGAUGGGGACCAACGUCACCAUCCACUGCUGGAACAACUAUAAUGGGAUCACCUUCCUGCACAAGGAUGGGUGCUCAGCCCCUAUCCAGCACCAGGACCCUGACGGUGGGGGCACGGCCACCUUCACCCUCUUUGGGGUGACCCCGGCUGAUGCCGGCUCCUAUAGGUGCUUCUACCGCCCCAAGGGUUUUUACCCCUUUCUUUCCUCACCCCUUGGGAACAAUGUGACACUGGAGAUGGAAUCCGCAUCUGCUCCUCCUGGUAGGUCUGAUCCUCCCAUUUGUGUGUCCCUGAUGUCACCCAUGGGUGGCACUGUCACGACAUCCUGUCCCUAUGGAGGUGGUGGCAGAGGAUGGAGUUCACCCAACACUUGGACCCCACAGGUGCUGAGGGGACGUCCUACAGGAACUUUGUGGUGGCGGUGGUGAGGGGAUGCGCUGCUGCCCUUGUCUUCGCUCUCGGCCUCUACUUCAUCCUCGAUGCCCGCAGCCUCUGGAUACAGAGAGAUGUGAGAUCUGGUGCCCCCCAGUGACAAGAAGGGUCUGACUCACACCGAGCUGCGUGCUGCAACCUGCAGGAUUUGGACACUCUGUGCACCCGUCGUGCCCUAAUCCCCUGUUAUCUGUGCUGAGUCGGGCACUGGCAGCUCUGCUAAUGCACACUUCUACCAUCCCCUCUAAGUGAAUGCAGAGGUGGGCUGUGGA